CAAGUAUUUUCUCCGUACAUCAAAACAUGUCUCAAAUUUUUCAAAAUUUAGAUGUAUGUAGAUAUGACAUAGUGUAUAAAUGCAUUCAAAUUUAGUCAAAGUUGAGACAUCAUUGAUUGGACGGAGGAAGUAUUAC
rnacentral:pre_miRNA from 1 species